rnacentral:rRNA from 1 species
AGUGAACGCUGGCGGUAGGCCUAACACAUGCAAGUCGAACGGCAGCACAGUAAGAGCUUGCUCUUACGGGUGGCGAGUGGCGGACGGGUGAGGAAUACAUCGGAAUCUACUUUUUCGUGGGGGAUAACGUAGGGAAACUUACGCUAAUACCGCAUACGACCUACGGGGGAAAGCAGGGGAUCUUCGGACCUUGCGCGAUUGAAUGAGCCGAUGUCGGAUUAGCUUGUUGGCGGGGUAAAGGCCCACCAAGGCGACGAUCCGUAGCUGGUCUGAGAGGAUGAUCAGCCACACUGGAACUGAGACACGGUCCAGACUCCUGCGGGAGGCAGCAGUGGGGAAUAUUGGACAAUGGGCGCAAGCCUGAUCCAGCCAUACCGCGUGGGUGAAGAAGGCCUUCGGGUUGUAAAGCCCUUUUGUUGGGAAAGAAAAGCAGCAGGUUAAUACCCCGCUGUUCUGACGGUACCCAAAGAAUAAGCACCGGCUAACUUCGUG